UGGGGGAUAUUGCACAAUGGGCGAAAGCCUGAUGCAGCGACGCCGCGUGGGGGAUGAAGGCUUUCGGGUUGUAAACCUCUUUCGCUAUCGAACAAGGCCCGCUUAGGGUGGGUUGAGGGUAGGUGGAGAAGAAGCGCCGGCUAACUACGUGCCAGCAGCCGCGGUAAUACGUAGGGCGCGAGCGUUGUCCGGAAUUAUUGGGCGUAAAGGGCUUGUAGGCGGCUUGUUGCGCCUGCUGUGAAAACGCGGGGCUUAACUUCGCGCGUGCAGUGGGUACGGGCAGGCUUGAGUGUGGUAGGGGUGACUGGAAUUCCAGGUGUAGCGGAGGAAUGCGCAGAUAUCUGGAGGAACACCGAUGGCGAAGGCAGGUCACUGGGGCAUUACUGACGCUGAGGAGCGAAAGCAUGGGUAGCGAACAGG
rnacentral:rRNA from 1 species